AAUUCAAUUUUGAAUCAUUUUAAUUUCAAAUUGAUUCACACACAUAGCAGACGCCAACACAUCAAGCGUCAUCAAUAGCGUGGUCUAUGGUGCAAUGCUAUCGCUGGAGUAAGUUGUUUACCUUCAAUUCGGGUAGCGUCAUGAUUGGACUACCCUGAUGGCGUCAUGAUCGCUGCUGAUUGCCUUUCAAAUAGGUUUUCAGCAUUCUGCUUACACCUUUGGCAUAGAGUCACAUAUUUCACAAUCCAACAUCAAUUCUGAAUCCCUCGCUACUGUAAGUCCCGUGAAAACCAAUAAGUGCGCGAAAGAAUUCUGCCCACCACCUCCUUUGUUAGGAUCAGCCAUUUUUUGACCCGUGAACAUUCCGGGCCAGUGCUGCCCGUCAUACUCUUGCGUGUCAGCUAAUCCUCCGUCAAUCAACGUUUGCCAGGAAGUCAUUUGCGAUGAGGACGAGCACUGCGAAGUUCAAGCUCAGGAAAGCCAAGACGGAAGCUGGUUGCCACCAAUUGGUGUCUGCAUAACAGAUUCGACUUCCAUUCCGCUGUAACAGACGAGAGCCAUCGUUGUCAAUUGAACCUUCGAGAACACUUUUUUUUUGUCAUCCAGCAAUCUAAUUGCCAGCCAUCAACUGUGUCCGAUCCUUUUCCUAGAUGUGGUACAUGUAACAAGACACUUGUGUUCAUGAUUCGCAAGCACACAACAAGGAAAUCUACACCAUAAAAUGGAGUCUUACCGGCCUUGGAACAAAAAACCCAAACAUGAAUCUGAUUUUGGCUAGCGCUUCGUUUGACUCGACCGUUUUGUGGGACGUUUAGCGUGGGUUGUGUAUUCAUACCUUAACCAAGCACUCCAAACCAGUGUACAGUGUAGAUAAAAAUGUUUUGAUUUGAUUUGUCAAUAAAAAUAAGAUAGAUUUCCCUCAA